ACACACACACACACACACACACACCAUUUUUACUGGUGUUAUUAACACACUUCCCUCAAAAGUUCUUCAAUGUUUUGCCUCACAAAGAACCUCCAAGUUUCACUUUAGUUGUGUGUGUGUGUGUGUGUGUGUGUGU